rnacentral:lncRNA from 1 species
GUGGCUGACCCUGCCUGGUGACAGUAGGCGAGUGUUACAGAGGAGAUCUGGUUUCUGGAGGUCUCCAGGAUGGGGCUGUAGCCUAAAAGGAAGACUGUGUGAGGCAGCAGCAGCAGCAGCAAGUGGAAAGGCUUGGAGAUGUGGAGGACGUUAUAUGGUGCUCAGAGAGCAGCAGUACAUGGAUGGCAAGUGCGGCGUUUGUGCUGCCACCCACUUCCCCGUGCCAAAAGCAUAUAACUGCUAAUCAGUUACCGCAUUUUUUUGCUGCCGAAUUUAUAAGCAGCCCCAAGAGUUCUCAACAGGAUGCUUCAGUUUUGCCAGGUUCCCCAGGCUGGUCUUGAACUCCUGGACUCAAGACAUCUACCUGCCUUGGCCUCCCAAAGUACUGGGGUUACAUGUACAUGUGUGAGCCACGGUGCCCGGCC